rnacentral:rRNA from 1 species
GGCGAAUCGGGUAGUAACACGUGAGUAACCUGCCCUGCGCUAGGGGGAUAACCCUACGGAAACGGGGGCUAAUACCGGAUAGUCAUGUCCUGCCGCAUGGUGGGGUGUGGAAAUGGGGCUUUCGGGUUUGGCGUGGGAUGGGCUCGCGGCCUAUCAGCUUGUUGGUGGGGUGAUGGCCUACCAAGGCGACGACGGGUAGCCGGUCUGAGAGGGCGACCGGCCACACUGGGACUGAGACACGGUCCAGACUCCUACGGGAGGCAGCAGUGGGGAAUAUUGCACAAUGGGCGCAAGCCUGAUGCAGCGACGCCGCGUGGGGGAUGACGGCCUUCGGGUUGUAAACCCCUUUCAGCAUCGACGAAGGCCUUCGGGUUGACGGUAGGUGCAGAAGAAGCGCCGGCCAACUACGUGCC